rnacentral:rRNA from 1 species
GACGAACGCUGGCGGCGGGCUUAACACAUGCAAGUCGAACGGAAAGGCCCUGCUUUUGUGGGGUGCUCGAUUGGCGAACGGGUGAGUAACACGUGAGUAACCUGCCCUUGACCUUGGGAUAACUUCAGGAAACUGGGGCUAAUACCGGAUAGGAGCUCCUGCUGCAUGGUGGGGGUUGGAAAGUUUCGGCGGGUGGGGUUGGACGCGUGGCUUAUCAGCUUGUUGGUGGGGUAGUGGCUUACCAAGGCUUUGCCGGGUAGCCGGCCUGAGAGGGUGACCGGCCCAGUUGGGACUGGGAUGCGGCCCAGACUAAUCCGGGACGCAGGGGUGGGGAAUAUUGCACAGUGGGAGGAAGCCUGAUGCAGCAACGCCGCGUGCGGGAUGACGGCCUUCGGGUUGUAAUCCGCUUUCGCCUGUGACGAAGAGUGAGUGACGGUAAUGGGUAAAGAAGCACCGGCUAACUACGUG